rnacentral:tRNA from 1 species
UGUCAAGGGAUCGGAAUCGAACCCACGACCUUCCGCUUACCGGGCAGAUGCCAUGACCACUAGGCUACCCUGGAC